rnacentral:rRNA from 1 species
UACAGAGGUGGCAAGCGUUGUUCGGAAUUACUGGGCGUAAAGGGCGCGUAGGCGGUCUUGUAAGUCUUGUGUGAAAUCCCUCAGCUUAACUGGGGAACUGCGUCUGAGACUGAUUGGCUCGAGGACAGGAGAGGAACGCGGAAUUCCAGGUGUAGCGGUGAAAUGCGUAGAUAUCUGGAGGAACACCGGUGGCGAAGGCGGCGUUCUGGACUGUUUCUGACACUGAAUAACGAAAGCCAGGGGAGCAAACGGG